rnacentral:rRNA from 1 species
AUGAACGCUGGCGGCGUGCCUAACACAUGCAAGUCGAGCGGAGCAAUCUUGAUGAAGUUUUCGGAUGGAAUCAGGAUUGACUUAGCGGCGGACGGGUGAGUAACACGUGGAUAACCUGCCUUAUACUGGGGGAUAACAGCCAGAAAUGGCUGCUAAUACCGCAUAAGCGCACGGCGCCGCAUGGCGCAGUGUGAAAAACUCCGGUGGUAUAAGAUGGAUCCGCGCCUGAUUAGCUAGUUGGCGGGGCAGCGGCCCACCAAGGCGACGAUCAGUAGCCGGCCUGAGAGGGCGACCAGCCACAUUGGGACUGAGACACGGCCCAAACUCCUACGGGAGGCAGCAGUGGGGAAUAUUGCACAAUGGGGGGAACCCUGAUGCAGCGACGCCGCGUGAGUGAAGAAGUAUUUCGGUAUGUAAAGCUCUAUCAGCAGGGAAGAAGAUGACGGUACCUGACUAAGAAGCCCCGGCUAACUACGUG